rnacentral:rRNA from 1 species
UAGGGAAUCUUCGGCAAUGGGGGGAACCCUGACCGAGCAACGCCGCGUGAGUGAAGAAGGUUUUCGGAUCGUAAAGCUCUGUUGUUAAGGAAGAACGAGUGUGAGAAUGGAAAGUUCAUACUGUGACGGUACUUAACCAGAAAGGGACGGCUAACUACGUGCCAGCAGCCGCGGUAAUACGUAGGUCCCGAGCGUUGUCCGGAUUUAUUGGGCGUAAAGCGAGCGCAGGCGGUCAAUUAAGUCUGAUGUGAAAGCCCCCGGCUCAACCGGGGAGGGUCAUUGGAAACUGGUUGACUUGAGUGCAGAAGAGGAGAGUGGAAUUCCAUGUGUAGCGGUGAAAUGCGUAGAUAUAUGGAGGAACACCAGUGGAGAAGGCGACUCUCUGGUCUGUAACUGACGCUGAGGCUCGAAAGCGUGGGUAGCAAACAGG